GAUGAAUGCUGGCGGCGUGCCUAACACAUGCAAGUCGAGCGGCAGCGCGGGGUUCUUGCACCCUGUCGGCGAGCGGCGAACGGCUGAGUAACGCGUAGGAAUUUGCCCCAAAGUGAGUAAUAACUGCCCGCAAGGGUAGCUAAUGCCGCAUAUGGUCUUCGGCUUAAAGGAUUUAUCCGCUUUGGGAGAAGCCUGCGUUGGAUUAGGUUGUUGGUAGGGUAAUGGCCUACCAAGCCGACGAUCCAUAGCUGGUCUGAGAGGAUGGUCAGCCAGACUGGAAAUGAGACACGGUCCAGACUCCUACGGGAGGCAGCAGUGAGGAAUCUUCCACAAUGGGCGAAAGCCUGAUGGAGCAACGCCGCGUGAAGGAUGAAGGCCUUCGGGUUGUAAACUUCUUUUAUGAGUGAAGAAUAUGACGGUAACUCAUGAAUAAGCACCGGCUAACUACGUG
rnacentral:rRNA from 1 species